rnacentral:tRNA from 1 species
GUGAUCGUAGUUCAGUUGGUAGAGCGCCAGUUUGUGGCACUGGUUGUCGCGAGUUCGAGCCUCGUCGAUCACC